GAUUGUGAAUAUCAUUGUCGAUCACCGAUGGAAUGGAAGGCAGUUGUGAUUGAUGGAAUGAAAUUCUCAUCAAAUAGUUUUCGAUGGAGGUGCAAUAGUAUAAGACACUGAAGGUUUUAAUUAUCUUGUUGAACUAAAAAUGAUUUAAAAAAUUGGCAUAGGUCAAAAUAAUAUCCCAUUCUUUUGAUAUUUGAUUCUCCAAGAACCUCAUCUUUACAUCAACAUACAUAUAUGUAUAAAAUAUAAUAAAUAUGAAAAUUUUCUAUCUGCACAAAACUUCAUAGAUGAUAGAAUGUUUCUCUCUGGAUCCAUCCAUAUGUUGAAAAAAUAAUGAGUAGGUCGGUCCUUUACUCCUUUUUUGAAUGGGCAAUGACGAUAGCAACCAUGUCCAUAGAUUGAAGGAGUAGUUUAAUGGCGAGAUCUAAAGGAUUUUUGACAACUUUGUAGGAAACUAAACAUUCAGUAACAUCCGCAUAGCAACUUUUAAUCCUUUCAUCAGCCACCUUGUACUUUUCAAAUUCAAUAAAUGGAAAGGUUCCAUUUAUGAUUUUCGCCACGCCUGUUAAUUUCACCACGCAUUCUUCAGCAGCCUUGGUGUUAAUAGAAUUUGUCCUUUUCUUCAUCUCGACAACAUGUUUAGCUAAUUUUACAGAAUUUUCAGCGUAACCGUGAGUUACAUUGAGUUCAUUCUUCACAAGGCUUCUUUUAUCUAAACACUCAACACCAGAUAAACGAUUGGUACAAAGUUCUUUAUCUUCUUUGGGAGCAGAUUCACAUACUUCCUUCGUAAAGGGAUUCAAUUUAGGAGGAGAGGAUGAAUUGAGGUCAAAGGAGAGGAACACAAGAAGUAUGGUGAAAUAGGAGUAUGCAGAUGCAGCCAUUUUAAUUUGGACUUUUAUUUGAUGAAAUGUAUAACUUUUAUUGGACGAAAAGCUAGAUGAUCGAUGGAAUUAUUUGAUGGAGAAAAGGUGGGGAAUGUUCAGGUUUUUAUACUAAGAUCAACAAAGGGAAGAACAAUUACAACCAACAACUUUUUAUGUUUAAAUUUGAAUUGAUGAUUUAAUAGUAAUGGUUGUUAGCUAGACAGAUAUUAUUAUUAGAUGAAGAUGCAGUUAACAGAUACCUGUAAUUCAUUAAACAUAGCAUAUGAUGAACAAACAUUCAGAUGGCUGAAGAAGACAGACAAUCAUAAAUUUUUGAAUUUGUUUUAAUUUGUGUUUUGAAGAAGAUUUGACUCAACUCAAUUUGAAGAAGAUUUGACUCAACUCAAUUUUUCCAUUUGGUUGGUUCAUUGUUGUUAUUAAUUAUCUGAUAACGAGGCAGGGAUUGCGUUCCCCGUCUUCAGACCCAAAAAUCUUCCCCGUCCCGGACCAGUAAUGUACUAAUGUUACUAUUUAGUAUUUACUAUUUACUAAUGUAAUUAAAAUACUGAUUUAAAUGUAAAUAGUCUAAAUAUUUAAAAAUUAAAUAAUUCAAAUGUAAAUAGAUAAUAAUUUAGUAAAUUAAAAUAAAUUGGUAAAUUUUGUAUGUUAUGUUAUUAUGUUCAUUUUUAUAGAUCAAUUUUAUUAAGGUUAAAUAUAAUUUUUGUAUGGAAUAUAAUAUAUUUUAAAUAUAAACAUAUAUAUUUAAUAUAUUAUAUAGGGUUAUUUAUAUAAAUUAUACUAUAUAAAAUAUUAUAUAAGGUUUAUAUGCAAUUUUUCCCAGGUAGGGGGAUUAUCCGGAGUGGGGAUUUCAAUCCCCGUAACUGGAAAUGGCCGGGGACGGGGAAUCUGUAACCGGAUCUAAAUUCCUUGGUAGAAAAUGAAGUCUGGGAGAGAUCUACUCUUCUUGUGGCCUGACGGCUAGGGUUUAAAUCCACAAAUAAUUUGAUUAAAAAAAGAAAUAGAGUCUAGGGUUCGCCUUAUAUAGGCUACACACUUAACAGAAAUAAAAACAAUUUAAUCUAAUUAAUUAGAACACACCAAAUAGGCCCAACUUUUGAUCCAAUUCGUAGUUCAGAAGCUUGUGUAUUGGGACCUUCUUGCGCAUUUUCUCCUUCUAAGUGAGUUUUGUACUUCAUUGUCAGAUUGUACUUGAUACCUUGAAGUAUUUAAACCAAGAGGAACACUUUCUAAGGUUUCCAGAUCUAAACCCACCGCCUCCACUUCUUCAAACAUGUCUAACUCUUCCGGAUCUCUCUCCUCUACCACAACAACUCUUCCAUCGGACACCGGGCUUCCUCCGACAAUAACCGCCAGGUUACAUCUCCUCCGUCCUCCACAAAAGACUCGACCUCGAAUCUGGCCUUGGGAAAAGCUUUGCACAGGUCGUUUAUUUUCUCCCAUGAUUUUUCUAAAUCAUUCAACCCAUUCCAUUUGACCAAUACCUCCUUUUCUUUCUUCCCGUUCUUGAGUGUUGUUCUUCUAGCCUCCAACGAAUCUGGCACGAUUACAAGUCCAUUAUCCACUGAAAUUUCCGGAAGCCUGCAAGGUAUGACGUUAGAGCUAUCACCUCUGAAUUUUUUUAAUUUUGAAACAUGAAAUACAAGAUGUAUUUUGCUUGUUUGUGGUAGAUCUAUCAUCAUUGCUACUUCAUUUAUUUUUCUUGUAACAGUAAAUGGUCCGUAGUAUCUUUGGCCCAUUUUAUGAUUCAACCCAGCUUUGAUAGAUGACUGUUUAUAUGGCUGAAGUUUGACUAGUACGGUAUCUCCUACUUCAAAGCAUAUAGGUGUUCUAUAUUUAUCUGCUGCUCUUUUCAUUUUUGCUUGAGCUUUAUUUAAAUUUCUUUUACUGUUUCUAAAAUCUCUUCCCUUCUCAACAUUUCCAGAUCUACUGCUUGGAUUUUUGAAUCUUGCGGAAUAUACGAACAUCCGGAGGGUCACGACCAUAUAAAGCUUUAAAGGGACUCAUAGCCAUAGAAGUGUGAAACGAAGAAUUGUACCAGAGCUUCGUCCACGGCAAGAAUUCCAGCCAACGCCUAGGCUUCUCGUGCACAAUAGACCUGAGGUAGUGUUCUAUUGCUUUAUUUACUAUUUCUGUUUGCCCGUCCGAUUGUGGAUGGUAGGCAGAAGACAGCUAAUUUGCACCCAUUUUGCCGGUGAAGCUUCCCCCCCGUUCGGAGACUAUUGAUCGUAGGAAGCCAUGAAGUUUGAUGAUAUUAUUUAUAAAAUAUUCAGCGACACUUGUUGAUGUAUACGUCGACGGUAGAGCCCCUAGGUGUACAAACUUGGACAACCUGUCCACCACAACGAUAAUAACGCUCUUUCCUCUAAUAAUCGGUAAACUCGUAAUAAAAUCAACAGAGAUAUCUUGCGACACGGCCUCCGGAAUCGGUAACGGUAAUAAUAAUCCAUACUUCUUAAUAUUCUCAUUCUUCAUCUGUUGGCAAGUUAAACAAGUAGAUACAUAUCUUUAAUUUGAACCGACAUACCUUCCCACCAGAAAGAAGUUUUGAUACGUUUACUUGUUCUGUCGAUACCAGUAUGACCACCUAGAACCGAUCCAUAUAGGAUUUCCAUAAUUUUUAAUGUAACAUUUGAAUCCUUAGGAACCCAUAUUCUUGACUUAUAAAUAAUUAAACCUUCUGUGAAAACAUAAUUUGUUCGGCUAAGCUUUCCAUCUUUAAUAUAUUUUUUUAUCAUGUUUUCCCAUCCUUUAUCUUUGAUCUCAGAUUUCAGAUUCAGGAUAAUAUCAGCCUUAGAUGCAUAAAUAGAAAACAUAGUGCUUCCUCUUACCACCUCACUUUCUUCUGAUUCAUCUUCAAAUCUUCUGGACAGUCCAUCCGCUGCAAGAUUUUCUUUACGUGGUUUGUAAAGAAUUUCGAAGUCGAACCCUAAUAAUUUGUAUAAAAAUUCUUGUUUCUCCGGAGUUUGAAUAAUCUAUGUCAAUAGAUUCUUCAAUGUUCUGUGAUCUGUUUUAAUAAUGAAAUGCCUCCCUAAUAAGUAGUGACGCCAUUUCGCAAUUGCCCUGGUGAUAGCAAAUAAUUCUCUUGCAUAUGUAGAAGCUUUUCUUCUUUUCCCUGUUAGCUUACAACUAAAAUAAGCUAUAGGAUGAUCAUUCUGCAUAAGUACUGCUCCAAUACCCGACUGAGAUGCAUCUGUUUCUACUGCGAAGGUUAUAGAAAAAUCUGGGUAACUUAGAACUAGAGGUGAUAACAUUGCUUUUUUUAAAUUUGCAAAACUUAUUGUAGCUUCCUCACUCCAAACAUAUCCAUCCUUUUUUAGUAAUUUUGUCAUAGGAUGUGCUAUGUGUGCAUACUGCUUAAUAAAUCUUCUAUAGUAGCCCGUAAGGCCUAGAAAUCCUCUCAGUUGCUUAAUCGUUGUUGGUAACUGCCAUCUCAUCAUAGCAUCGAUUUUUUCUAGAUAUAUCUGGCUUAAUUCCUUCUCCCCCAAUAAUAUGCCCCAGAAAUUGUAAUUCCUUCUUUCCAAAUGUAUAUUUGUUUCUCUUGGCCGCUAGAGAAUGACUUCUUAGGAUCUCAAAAACAAUUCUUAAAUGAUCUCCAUGUUCUUGUUCAGAUCUGCUAAAAACUAAAAUAUCAUCGAAAAACACAAUAACGAAUCUCCUCAAUUGUUUCUGGAAAAUACUAUUCAAUGCUUGAAACGUUGUUGGAGCAUUGGUUAGCCCAAAAGGCAUUAUUAGAAAUUCGAAGUGACCACUAUGAGUCCUAAAAGUUGUUUUAGACACAUCUGGUGGAUGUAUUCUUAUUUGAUGAUAACCUGAUCUUAAAUCCAACUUUGAAAAUACCAUAGCUCCAUUAAGUUCGCCUAAAAGUUCAUCCACUGUAGGAAUAGGAAAUUUAUCCUUAACUGUUAUGUUGCUUAGAGCUCUGUAGUCUACGCAUAAACGCCAACCACCGUCCUUCUACCUCACUAAAAUAACCGGAGAUGAAUAAGGGCUGGUACUUGGUCUUAUAAUUCGUUGAUGUAACAUCUCCUUAACAAGACUUUCUAUUUCUGUUUUCUGAUAUUGAGGAUAUCGAUAGGGUCUCACCGAAACGGGUUUAGCAUUAGGGAUUGUAUGAAUAUAGUGAUCCCUUUCUCUGAAAGGAGGAAGUUCUGUUGGAACUUCGAAAACAUCUUCAAAUUCCAAUAGCAACUUCUCUGCCUCCUCAUCAAUAAAUUCUUUUUCAACUUCUGCCUCAACCUUUAUUAAUUCAAUGUGUAAAAAAUAUCCCAUGGGCUGAUGUGAAAUAAAAGACUUCAACUCUCUACUGGAUAUUGGGUUAUCGUCCACUAAUUCCUGACUAUACCAUACAGUUUUCUUGCCUUCAAACUAAAAUUCCAUAUACAUUUCUUUGUGUUCUGUCGCUACUCUUCCCAGACUUUCCAACCAUUGUGCCCCUAAUACAACAUUAGCUCCAGAAACAGCUAGUGAGUACAGGUCGAUUUUUAUAACCGUGUCUUGAAUUUCAAUUUUAACCUCUCUACAAACUCUGGUACACCUCAAUUUAUCGCCACUACCUGUAGACACAUCAAAUGGUAAAAAUUUUGACACCAGUAGUUUAAGGGAUUCUACCAAGCUGGAUUGAAUGAAGUUAUGGGUUGAUCCCAAAUCCAAUAACAUUGGUACUCUAUUACUGCCAAUAGAUCCAUAAAUCCUGAAUUGCCUUGGGCUGAUUAUCCCAUCUAGAGCAUCUAGGCUGAUUAAUGAUUUCUCUCCCCUCAGAAUUAUUGGUACCUUUUCAUUCUCCCUCUCUUCAUCAGAGCUAUCAUAACCUGUCACCUCCGUAAGUUGACUCCCAUCGGCGGACAAUAAUAAUAAUUUCCCCAUACAUCUAUGGCCUUUAACCCAUUUUUCGUCACAAUUGAAGCAUAAUGACUUUUCUCUUUUUAUCUUCUUCUCCUCUUCCGUUAACUAUUUUCUUAUAUUGGGUAUGGAAGAUAAAAUACUGUCUGGCCUUUUAUGAGGUGGUGGUAUAUAUGCUUUGUUUUCAUAAUUAGACCAUUUCACCUUACUUUUCAACUUCUGAUUUUGGAACUCACAACACAUAUUUGCCAUAGAAAAUGCGUCAUUGAUAUCCUUUGGUUUGGCCAAUAAAAUCUUUUCUUGUACAACCGGUGUUAGGCCCGUAAUAAACAUUUCUUUUAGAGCAGCCUUUGAAACACCAUGAGCUUUAGUUGCUAGAUUUUUGAACUUUUGUUGAUAUUCGGCUGUAGACAUUGUAUCUUGUUGUAAUUUGCUUAAUCUACCUGUCGGAACAUCAUAAGGAUUUCUUCCAAAUUGCCUCGUGAUAUCAGCAAUGAAAUCCCCCCAGCAAUCAAUAUUCCCUUCCUCUUCCAUCUAAACUAACCAGUCAAGAGCAUCUCCUUCCAUACUCUGAGUUGCCAGAAAUAAUCUCUUGUCAUCUUUAAUAUGAUAAUGACGGAAGAAUUUAGUAAUCUUGAGCAGCCACUCCUCAAUGUUUAAUCCCGAGAAUUUAGGAACAUCUUUCGCCGAAGGCCUCAUAAAGUCCUGUUUGCCACUGCUCGAUCCGUUCUCCACCGAUUUGUUAUCAUCCAUAUCUUCUUCCAGUGCCAAUCCCAGUUUUAUUUGAAUCCCGUGAACUGUAGAUUCUAAGGCUUUCGUCGAAGAUAGAAAGCUUGCCUCCAUCUAUUUUGUAACAGCCGAGAAUUGAGUUACUGUAGAGUUUAAUGAUAAGGCAUGUUCAUUUUGUUCCUUGCGCAUCUCCCUCAGUAAUUCCUCCAUUGUUGCCAUAAAAAAAACCUAACAACAUAUGAUGUGAUAGAGGUAUUCAAUUAAUAGAUCUGGAAAACGAGACUUCCCUUUAGGGGACCUAGUUAAGGACUACGACGACCCUUGAAAGAUUUGAUCGAAUCGUUUAUUCCGUUGUUUCUGACGUCUUGACAUCCUUUCUUCCGAGAUAGAUUCACUGUUGAAAGCACCAAUGUAACCGGAUCUAAAUUCCUUGGCAAAAAUGAAGGCUAGGAGCUAGAGAUCUACUCUCCUUGUGGCCUGACGGCUAGGGUUUAAAACCACAAAUAACUUGAUUAAAAAAAGAAAUAGAGUCUAGGGUUCGCCUUAUAUAGGCUACACAAUAGAAAUAAAAACAAUUCAAUCUAAUUAAUUCGAGCCCACCGAAUAGGCCCAACUUUUAAUCCAAUUCGUAGUCCAGCAGCUUGUGUGUUGGGAUCUUCUUGCGUUUGCUCUUUCUAAGUGAGCUUUGUACUUCAUUGUCAGAUUGUACUUGAUACCUUGAAUAUUUAAACCAAGAGGAACACUUUCUAAGGUUUCCAGAUCUAAACCCGCCUCCACUUCUUCAAAAACGUCUAACUCUUCCGGAUCUCUCUCCUCUACCGGCAAUCACUCUUCCAUCGGACACCGGGCUUCCUCCGACAAUAACAGCCGGGUUACAGAAUCUCACCCCUAACUAUAACUACUAAUUUAGAGUAGCCAUUAACCGUGACAAGCGAUUAAAGGCCAACUAUACAUCAAGUGGAGUUAGUGUGAUGUACUGAAAAGAUCUAAUUAUUGAAUUAUGAAUUAAGCACAUUAUUAGUUUUACACUAAUCCUAUUUAGAUGUUUCUAAAAUAAACAUUUUGAUGUAACAACCCCUACUACAUUGUGGUUGUACAUCUUUAUUCUCUGGUUAAGUGUAUAUAAAAUGACUCAAUAAUAUGCAAUUGAUCCAUCGAUUAAUUACCCUAAAUUACUAAUCUCCCUCCUUGCUUCAUCUCUUCAUCUUGCUCUCAUCUUCCAUGGCCGAUCAUACUAGAAAAGUCAAGAUUUUAUCAGAGCAACUCUCCAGGUUGUCCGGUCUUGAGGCACCAUAUCGGAGUUCUUCAAAACGAUGCCAUCAAUUGGAUCGAUCCAAUCCUUCCUACAAAUCAAGUUGACGCAGACCAACUACGUCGUCUGGAAGAAAUAAUUUACCCCACUGCUAAACUGCUUCAAUCUCCCAUGUUCAUCAAUGGAAAAGAAUCACCUCCGGAGGAGAUCUUGCCGGAAUAUCUGCUUUGGUAUCACUUCAACCCGUCAUAAAUAUCACUUCAGCCCAAGAGGCCCACUAUGGUAAUAAUGAUAUUGAUCAGUCUAAGCCCAUUGCAUGGUCCCCCGAUUCUGGGGCCACACAUCAUUUUUUUCCAAAUGUACAGGCUAUUUUCACUCCACAAACAUACAAUAGGCCGGACUAAGUCCAAUUAGGUAAUGGCACGAAACUUAAAGUAAAUCACAUAGGGGAUGGCAAAAUUAUAAAUAAUGGAACCUCCAACUCAUUCACAGUGACGUCUGGGGACCUUCACCAGUAUAUCAUAUUUUGAUGGAAAUAAAUAUUUUGUAUAUUUAUUGAUGAUUAUUCUAGAUUUAUUUGGCUACUCUCAAUUAAGUAGAAAUCUGGGGUUACUAAUAUUUUUUCAAAAUUUCAAAUCAUGAUUGAAAGUAAAAAUUUCAAACUCUUCAAUCAUAUUUUGUGUCUCAGGGUAUUUGUCACAGAAAAUCAUGUCCUCAUACACGAGCAAAAUAGGAUGGCUGAAAGCAAAAUUAUCUUCCAUAAUAAUACCUCCGCUGCUGCACACAUCGGGUUGUGUUCAACGAAAUAUGCCACUGGUCGAUCAAUUACAAAGCACUAUCCGGAUUGGAACUUACUCAAUUUGAUGAUUCUACGGAGCCUCGCUCAUUCAAACAUGCCUCUAAAUCUCAUGAGUGGAUUCUAGAAAUGGAGAAAGAAAUACAAGCUAGAAUUAAGUAUGAAUGCAACAUGGUCACUAGUUGAGGCACCACCCAACACAAAUAUUAUGUCAUGCAAGUGGGUGUAUAAAUUUAAGAGGAAGGAAGAUAGCUCAAUAGAAAGAAAGACCGUCUUAUGGCUCGAGGUAUUAGUAUUAAAACAUUAAACUAAGUAUUACUCCUUAAUUAAAACUUAAUUAAACUAAGUAUUAGUCAUAGUUGAAUUAAACUAAGUGUUGAUAUUACUAAUGAAGUUUAUUUCAGGUUAAUGGAUCAAGCCCAAAACUCAGAUCCGGCCCAGAAAUGAAAUAAAGAUAUUUGAUGGUGAAGGAUCAAGUUGCAAAUAUUAAUUAGUUUUGGGCUGUAAUAAAAUAGAAAAUCUUAUAAAUAGAUAUUGUAAAAACUACAAUUUAAUCAAUUCAGAUAAAAUCGUUUCCCCUCUUUCUGUUAAAAAACAGUUUCACUUCUUCUUCUCCAAUCUUCUUCACGUCGUUCUCCAUCUGAUGAUUCCCGGCCUAUAGACGGGAAUACUGGACCAGAUUUCGCGUUAUAUGGUAUCAUCGGUCGACUCUGGGAACUCGCUGUUGUUUUCAUUCUCUCUAGUGCAUUGCACACUCUGAUUUCAUGGAUGUCGAAAAAGAAACAAGCACAGAGAUGGAAGCUUCUGUUGCUGUUGAAAAAAAAGCCAUUUGACCUAGAAACAACAUUCACAACCAGGUCAUCUGUAUACUUUUUACAUUCUAGCGAUAAUCCGAGUAAUAAAAUUGUAAAUGACCUCCUUAAAGGUCAAUCAAACUACCCAACCUGGUACAAAGAUAUGAAACUUUGGCUAGUAACCAGGAGAAAGCAGAAAUUUAUUAAUGGAAAAGUCUCCAGGCCUAAGGAUGAAAACUCAGAAGAGUUUGAGGCCUGGGAGACAGUAAAUGGGGUAGUUUUCUCUUGGAUUAUUAAUGCUUGUGAUAAAAAUAUAGCAGCCUCUAUUAGAUCUGCUGAGAGUGCUUAUGAAGCCUGGGAAAUUUUAAAAAUAAGAUACAGCCAAGGGCAGGCACCUCUGAGGUUUCAAAUUGGUCAAGAAUUGGCCAAUUUAUUUCAAGGAGAUAUGUCAGUGAGUGAUUACUACAUAAAAUUAAAAUCAGCUUGGGAUGCCUUGCAAGAUAUUAGUAAAAUAAAGAAAUGUACAUGUGGUGUUUGCACAUGUGGAGCUAUUGAAUCUUGGGAAGAAGAGGUUGAACAAGACAAAGUGGUCAAAUUCCUUUUAGGUUUAAAUUAGGAAUUUUUAAAUGUAAGAAGCCAAAUAUUGGCUGGAAAAGAAAUUCCAAAUAUGGAUUCUGCCUUUUCAACAGUAAUUACUGAUGAAAAGCAAAGAGGGGUCACCAUUAAAAAAAUAUAAUUAUGAAAGUACCCCCAUGGACAGUGCUAUGGCUGUAAGAAAGGCUUCUAACAUUAGGAAUGAACCUUUCAACUCUGAGAAGUAUAAGUUCAGUAGGAAAGAAAUUAAACUCAAUUUAAAAAUCAGAUGUGACCAUUGUUGGUUUUAUGGUCACACCAAAGAUUCAUGUUAUCAUCUGACUGGAUAUCCUUCUGAGAAAGAUGCAGCUAGAAAUUCUUUCUCUGCUACUAAGAAGUUCAAAACAGAGCAUGCUAGUUCAGCCAUCACACACACCAUUACUGAUGAGGAAUAUAAAAUCAUGCAAAACAUGUUCCUGAAAAAUACAGGUAUUUUUUUUAAUGAUAUUAAAACUAAUUUAGCUUGUUUUGCAUAUAAAUCUUCUAAUUUUAAAUGGAUUUGUGAUAGUGGUGCCUCACAACAUAUGUGUGGAAACAAAUAGUUUUUUGUUAAUCUUAGACCUUCAAAUAAAAUUAGAAGAGUCUUAUUACCUAAUGGUGAUUGUUUUUUAAUUGAACAAGUUGGAGAAAUCAUACUUUCUCCAACAAUAACUUUAAAAAAUGUAUAUUACAUUCCAGACUUCAAACUAAAUUUGAUUUUCUCUAUAUAGGAUCAUUGAAGAUAUGGAUAUAUGUAUUUUUUUGAAUAAAAAACACUGUUUUUUUCAGGAUCCUCACAGCAAGGAUCUGAUUGGACAGGCUAGUGCUGAAAAUGGGGUUUAUACAUUUGAUAAAGAGGAAGUUUGUUGUGUUGCUAAAGACAUCAAACUAUGGCAUGCUAGGAUGGGGCAUGUAUCACAUGAUAAGCUUAGAAUGUUAGCUGAAAAUUCAUGUAAUAGCAUUAGUUUUUCAAACAAUUCUAAAUCAAAUAAAGAAAUCAUUUCUCUAUGUGAUAUAUGUCCUUUGGCCAAACAACAAAAAUUAUCAUACACAAAGAGUAUAUCUCAAAGUAAAAACUGUUUUGAUCUUAUUCAUGUUGACAUUUGGGGAAUGUUUUCAAUACCACCAUUUGAUCAAAACUUCUAUUUUUUAACCAUAGUAGAAGAUAAAAGUAGAACAACNNNNNNNNNNNNNNNNNNNNNNNNNNNNNNNNNNNNNNNNNNNNNNNNNNNNNNNNNNNNNNNNNNNNNNNNNNNNNNNNNNNNNNNNNNNNNNNNNNNNUAAAACCCAAUUUAAUACUGUUUUUAAAACCUUAAGAAGUGAUAAUGGGUUAGAAUUCACUUCUUAAAAAUUUAAUAAACUACUAAAAGAGAAUGGUAUAAUCCAUCAAUUCUCUUGCCCCUAUUCUCCUCAACAAAAUAGUAAAGUUGAGAGAAAACACAAAUUAAGACCUAUUAAAUAUUGCUAGGGCAAUUAAGUUACAAGCUGCCCUUCCAAUCAAAUUUUGGGGUUUUUGUAUUUUAGGAGCAACAUACAUAAUAAAUAGGACUUGCUCUAAGUCUUUAGAAAAUAAAACACCAUUUGAGAUUCUAAAUGAAAAAAAACCUAAUAUCAUGUUAACUAAGAUAAUUGGAUGUCUUUGUUAUUAUGAUAAUACCAACAGAGAACAUAAGUUUUCUGUAAGGGCAAAAAGAGGUGUUUUUUUAGGGUAUCCACAAGGAACAAAAGGAUACACAAUUUUGGAUAUUGAAUCUCAAAGAAUAGUAAUAAGUAGAAAUGUUACUUUUAAGGAAAUGGUAUUUCCUUUAAAACAAUUAAAGAAGUUUUUUUAAAAGAAAAUCAAAACAAAUGCAUCUUUGAUGAUUUUAUCUUAAAGAUUUAUGAAAACAAUCAUAAUCUAAAAAAUCAGACUAUAAAUAAAUUUUCUGAUGAAAAGGAUGAUAGAACUAAAGAAGUAUUAGACAAUAAUCUAAUACAAAAUAAGAGUGAUAGUUCUGAAUUCAUUAUAGAUGAUGAGAUUGCAUCUAAAGAUGAUAAAUUAAUACACAAAUCAUCAAAAAAUCAAAUAUUAAACAAGGUAAAUGAUCUUGAUAUAUCAGUUUCAAGCUCAGGAGAAAGUUCAGAUAAAAACUCUGAUAAAAACACCUCCCCUGAGUCAUCAAACUCAGGAGAAAGUUUAGAUAAAAACUCUGAUAAAAACACCUCUCCUGAGUCAUCAAAUUCUGGAGAAAAUUUAGGUAAAAAUACUGAUAUUACAGACAAAAACAGUUCUCCUAGAUCAGCAAAUUUCAGUAAAAAUUUGCAGAAUACUGAUAUCAGUAUUCUGCCAAAUUCAAACACACAAAACCACCACAUAGAAGGUUCUGAUAAUAGGAUUUAUGAUGAUUCUACUGAAACAGAUAAACAGUCAAAUGAAACUAGUUCUGAUCAACUAAAUACCACACAAUAUAGAAGAUCAACUAGAAUACAACACUCAUCUAAAAAUAAAGUUUUCUAUUAUAAGGAAGAUAGUGAUUAUGAUAGUAUUAACUGUAGCACUGAUCACUCAUUAAACAAAUACAUAUCAUAUAAAAAGAUAAAUAAGAAGAAAAAGGAAUAUUUAAGAAAAAUUUCUAUGAGCAAUGAACCUCAUAGUUAUGGAGAAGCUUCUAAAACCCAAAUUGGGUAGAAGCCAUGGAAAAUGAAAUGGAAGCCCUUUUGUUAAACAAAACAUGGGACUUGGUAUCUCUUCCACCCACAAGAAAACCCAUUGGAUCCAAAUGGGUUUUUAAAAUCAAAUAUAACCAAAAUGGGGAAAUAAACAGAUACAAAACUAGAUUAGUGGCUCAGGGAUUUUCCCAAAUAGAAGGUUUUGAUUAUUAUCAUACCUUUGCUCCAGUAGCCAAAAUAACAACCAUUAAAAUACUAAUCACAGUAGCUACUACAAAAAAUUGGAAUUUACAUCAAAUUGAUGUAAAUAAUGCUUUUUUAUAUGGUGAUCUGAAUGAGGAUAUAUACAUGAGACCCCCACCUGGGUUUCUUAAAAAAGAAGAUCAAAGGGUAUGUAAGUUAAAAAAGUCCCUAUAUGGACUAAAACAAGCUUCUAGGCAAUAGUUUGCCAAGCUUAAAGAUACAUUACUGAAAAUGAAUUUUAAACAAUCAUUUUCAGACUAUUCCCUUUUCAUUAAAGAAUCCACUGAAUUUGUUCUAUACUUAGUAAUAUAUGUGGAUGACAUUGUAAUUACAGGAAAUAAUGAGAAGGAGAUAGAAAAACCGAAAAAAGAUCUUAAUACAUUUUUUAAUCUAAAAGACCUAGGAAAACUACAUUAUUUCCUAGGAAUUGAAGUGUCUUAUUCAGACCAUGGAAUUUUCUUAUCCCAAAGAAAAUAUACCCUAGACAUUUUAAAUGAAAAUGGACUGCUAGGGAGUAAACCAUCAAAAAUACCAAUUGAAAAACAAGAUUGGAGACAAGAUGAAUCAAAACCAUAAAAGAUCCUUUUAAAUAUAGAAGAUUAAUUGGAAAACUAAUCUAUCUAAAUACAACAAGGCCUGACAUUACUUUUGCUCUUAGGACCCUAAGUCAAUUUAUGGAGAAACCCACUGAAUUACAUAUGGAUGCCAUUUUUAAACUAUUAAGGUAUCUUAAAAAAUCUCCAGGACAAGGAAUUAUGAUAACCAACAAUAAACCCCUUAUAUUAAGAAGAUAUUGUGAUGCUGAUUGGGGUUCUUGCACCCUAACCAGGAGGUCAGUAACAGGCUUUUGUGUUCUUCUAGGAGAUUCUUUAAUCUCAUGGAAGUCAAAAAAACAAGAACUGGUCUCUCAAUCAUCAGCAGAGGCUGAAUACAGGGCAAUGGCUAAACUUUCAAGUGAGAUAACAUGGGUAAAUCAAUUGCUAAAUGAACUGAGAGUUUAUAAUAAUAAACCAGUUCAAAUAUUUUGUGAUAAUAUAGCUGCCAUACAUAUAGCAGAAAACCUUGUUUUUCAUAAAAGAACCAAACACAUUGAAAGAGAUUGCCAUUUCACAAGAGAGAAAUUAGAAAAAGGUCUAAUUACCUUAAAAUCAAUUGGUACUAAUGACCAAUUAGCAAACAUAUUGACAAAAGGAAUUGGAGAGAUAGAAAUGAGUAAUACGUUGUUCAAACUAGGUAUAAUAGAUAUUUAUGCCUAGCUUGAGGGGGAGUAUUAGUAUUAAAACAUUAAACUAAGUAUUACUCCUUAAUUAAAACUUAAUUAAACUAAGUAUUAGUCAUAGUUUAAUUAAACUAAGUGUUGAUAUUACUAAUGAAGUUUAUUUCAGGUUAAUGGACCAAGCCCAAAACUCAGAUCCGGCCCAGAAAUGAAAUAAAGAUAUUUGAUGGUGAAGGAUCAAGUUGCAAAUAUUAAUUAGUUUUGGGCUGUAAUAAAAUAGAAAAUUUUAUAAAUAGAUAUUGUAAAAACUACAAAUUAAUCAAUUCAAAUAAAAUCGUUUUCCCUUUUUCUGUUAAAAAACAGUUUCACUUCUUCUUCCCCAAUCUUCUUAACGUCGUUCUCCAUCUGGUGAUUCCCGGCCUAUCGACGGGAAUACUGGACCAGAUUUCGCGUUAUACGAGGCUUCUCACAAAUUGAAGGUGUGAUUUCGAUGAGACGAAUAGUCCGGUAGUCUGUUAUCAUGGAUAUUGGACUAGAUCAGCCCAACACUACAAGAAAACAGACUUUUAGCGACGGAUUUUGAUUUUCCUUAAAUUUGAAAAAUUAUUUUGUGAAAAAUUUGUAUCGAAUUUAGGGUUAGGUUAGGGUUACGAAGAUUUACAAGGGAGAUUUAUCGUGACGAAGAUCUACUGGAGUCGACGUUUAAGAAGAAUCAUAUUAGAUUUGAGGUGAUUGAGGAUGAACACAAAAGAUUUAGAGGUGAACAAAGUCACGACAAGAUGAUUUAAUUAACUAAAUUGCAUGAUCACAGUAACUAUUAAGGUUUCUGAAGAUUAAGGGUUCGAGUUUCGUUGUGUACGUAUUUUUUUAAAAUUUCACUACCAUAAUAUCGAAUUAGGGAUUGAUUUAUAUUGGUGUUACGGCACAAUCAGAGAUGCGGCCAGACCUUGUAAGUUGUCUAGAACCGCCCAAACCCGAUUCUAGAUGGCCCGGUCCAGCCCGGGUCCUAGAGUGCCAGCCCAGUAAAGACCAAGGAUAAUGAGGUAUAUUAUAUAUAAAUAAUUUCUGUGGUUAUAUCAGAGAAAAUUAUUUCAUAAAUAAUUUGAUAAUUUUCACAUUUAUUUUAAACCAUCCUUAAAUUUAUUAAUUUAUAUCAUUAUUAUCCUUACCUUAAAUUAAUUUGUAAAAAUGAAAGAGAAUUAAAAUAGAAACUUAGAAAAUGAAUUAAUAUUGAAAUUAAACAUACAAAAUGAAAUAAAAUAUAUCUUCAAUCCCUUUAUAAUUAGUUUUCUAAACUAAUUUAACUGAAUGAAAAUCCGUUAACUUUUUCUAAGGUAGCUAUAACGGAAAUAAAAACAGAAGUAAAAAAAAGAACAAAAGCUCAUUGACUCUCUCUCAUUAGCUAUGUAGUCUAGUUAUACAGUAACUAAAUACGCUGUCUCAGAAGAUUGAUCUUCCAUACUUCCAUCAUAGAUGUCUCCAAAGGGUGACAACAACUCUUCAUGUAAUACAUUGAAUCAAAUGAGAGACUAAUGUCUUUAAUGACCUCCUUAAAGGCUACCUCAGGAGGCCUACUAACGUGCUUUCUAUAUCUUUUAUUUCAUUCCGUCCAUAUAUGUCAUGACAAGCACUAAAUAGCAUUCCAUAGUAGCCCCUAAGAGGGAGAGUGGUGCGUAAUUUUUUGCGCAGCUUCCGUCAGAUCCCCCAAUCUAAUAUCUGAACUGGAUUUGGUGAGAACUGGAAUAUUCAUUAUUUUUCAGAAGGCGAGAUUCAGGUGCUCCGCCUACGGAAUUAAGAGAGAUCUGGAAUAAGAACAGUUAAAGAAAAGAUGAUUACUAGUUUCAUCUUUCAGAUUGCAUAGCAAGCAAACAGAAAGUACUUGUACUUUCCAACUUCUUAACUUCCUGAACGUGUUUAGGUGAUCACAUUUCACCCUCCACAAAAGAAUAAAGAAUUUUAUAAGCAUCUUCGACCAAAUUCCCUCAACUAUCAUGUCUUUAUGCUUUCUAUCUCUUAUACUUUCCACCAUUCCCCCCAACUUGCUUAUCGAAGUAUCAGAUCUCUACACAAUCGUAUUAUUGGCUCUACAAUCCUAAUAUUUAUUCACUAGAUUUCUUUUUGAGAUAAUUUUUUUCCAAUAAUACGAAUCCACGUACAGUAGGUCUGAUUUGUAGAAAUUUCGUUAUAAAUUUACAAAAAAAUACGACUAAAUUUUGGGAAUUCCGUUAAAAAUGAAGGGAAACCCUAGAUAUCAAGGAUUGUGAAUAUCAUUGUCGAUCACCGAUGGAAUGGAAGGCAGUUGUGAUUGAUGGAAUGAAAUUCUCAUCAAAUAGUUUUCGAUGGAGGUGCAAUAGUAUAAGACACUGAAGGUUUUAAUUAUCUUGUUGAACUAAAAAUGAUUUAAAAAAUUGGCAUAGGUCAAAAUAAUAUCCCAUUCUUUUGAUAUUUGAUUCUCCAAGAACCUCAUCUUUACAUCAACAUACAUAUAUGUAUAAAAUAUAAUAAAUAUGAAAAUUUUCUAUCUGCACAAAACUUCAUAGAUGAUAGAAUGUUUCUCUCUGGAUCCAUCCAUAUGUUGAAAAAAUAAUGAGUAGGUCGGUCCUUUACUCCUUUUUUGAAUGGGCAAUGACGAUAGCAACCAUGUCCAUAGAUUGAAGGAGUAGUUUAAUGGCGAGUUCUAAAGGAUUAAUGACAACUUUGUAGGAAACUAAACAUUCAGUAACAUCCGCAUAGCAACUUUUAAUCCUUUCAUCAGCCACCUUGUACUUUUCAAAUUCAAUAAAUGGAAAGGUUCCAUUUAUGAUUUUCGCCACGCCUGUUAAUUUCACCACGCAUUCUUCAGCAGCCUUGGUGUUAAUAGAAUUUGUCCUUUUCUUCAUCUCGACAACAUGUUUAGCUAAUUUUACAGAAUUUUCAGCGUAACCGUGAGUUACAUUGAGUUCAUUCUUCACAAGGCUUCUUUUAUCUAAACACUCAACACCAGAUAAACGAUUGGUACAAAGUUCUUUAUCUUCUUUGGGAGCAGAUUCACAUACUUCCUUCGUAAAGGGAUUCAAUUUAGGAGGAGAGGAUGAAUUGAGGUCAAAGGAGAGGAACACAAGAAGUAUGGUGAAAUAGGAGUAUGCAGAUGCAGCCAUUUUAAUUUGGACUUUUAUUUGAUGAAAUGUAUAACUUUUAUUGGACGAAAAGCUAGAUGAUCGAUGGAAUUAUUUGAUGGAGAAAAGGUGGGGAAUGUUCAGGUUUUUAUACUAAGAUCAACAAAGGGAAGAACAAUUACAACC
rnacentral:lncRNA from 1 species